rnacentral:rRNA from 1 species
CGGGUGAGUAACGCGUGGAUAACCUGCCCUGAGGUGGGGAAUAACCCGGGGAAACCCGGGCUAAUACCGCAUGACACCGAGAGGUCAAAGGGGGCGGCAACGCUCCUGCCACAGGAGGGGUCCGCGUCCGAUUAGCUAGUUGGCAGGGUAAUGGCCUACCAAGGCGACGAUCGGUAGCCGGCCUGAGAGGGUGAUCGGCCACACUGGAACUGAGACACGGUCCAGACUCCUACGGGAGGCAGCAGUGGGGAAUUUUGCGCAAUGGGCGGAAGCCUGACGCAGCAACGCCGCGUGGAGGAUGAAGGUCUUUGGAUCGUAAACUCCUGUCAGCAGGGAAAAAGCGACAUGACCUAAUACGUCGUGGAGUUGAUUGUACCUGCAGAGGAAGCCCCGGCUAACUCUGUGCCAGCCGCCGCGGUAAUA